CUUUGUGUUAACAAAUCGACUCAAUAGAACAGGAACGCAAAAAACAAUAACCACUGUCCGUAUAUCGCUGCUAAUCAUACUUCGUACUAUUGUCUGUGCAAUAUGAAGAAACUAGUGUUGCUUCUGGUCGUGUUACUCAUUGUGGCCAUGUUAAUUGAUGGUGGUACUUGUGGACGACGACGAAACUUCCGAUCAUUCACGGGCGACAUCGUUGAGAAAAAACAAGAUGACGAAAUACAAUUUAUAAACCAGGAUGAUAUUGUGUUACCUUCUGGACAGAACUUGAUCUCUGAUAAACGAGGUGAAGGCGAGAUACAGGCCUUGGAACCAUAACAAUACUCAUGUCUUUAUUGGUUUAAACAUACCUCGUUUACCUUGUAUAGUUUGUAGAUUCAAUCAAUAAAGUCUUGCUUCAUAAGCUGCAUCUUGUGCAUCAA